GAUGAACGCUAGCUACAGGCUUAACACAUGCAAGUCGAGCGACCGGCGCACGGGUGAGUAACACGUAAACAUGCUGCCCUUUACUCGGGGAUAGCCUUUAGAAAGAACGAUUAAUACACGAUAUAAAGGAUGGGGAUGCGUUCCAUUAGGUUGUUGGUGAGGUAACGGCCCCCCAAGCCUUCGAUGCCUAGGGGUUCGGAGAGGAGGGUCCCCCAGAUUGGAACCUGGACCCGGUCCAAACUCGUACGGGAGACAGCAGUGAGGUAUAUUGUGCAAUGAGCGUUAGCCUGACCCAGCCAAGUAGCGUGAAGGAUGAAGGCUUAUGGGUCGUAAACUAUUUUUAUAUAAGAAGCUGUAUUAGAUGAAUAAGGAUCGGCUAACUCCGUGCCAGCAGCCGCGGUAAUUC
rnacentral:rRNA from 1 species